rnacentral:lncRNA from 1 species
GUCUGAGAGCUCCCCUGUGGAUGGAGACUGUCCUCUCUUCCCCAUCCAGUAGCAUCCUACAGCCCUGCAUAUCUGUGAUGGAUCCUGUUAAUUGUCAACUUGAAAGAAUCCACAGUCGCCUGUGAGAAGGGCCUCUGGGCGUGCCCUAUAGGGGAUUAUCUUGAUUACAAGAAUUGAUGUGGGAAGACCCGCCCACAUGAGAAGCACUGUUCCCUAGGCUGGAGAAUGGUAUUUCACCACAGCCAUGGGAAAGAAGGUAAGCCAGCAGGGAGCCAAGCACUUUUUCAAUGGACUUCUACAUUAGUGUCCCCCCACCCCCAGGCACAUCUUGUGAGUACUUCAAACAAGUAAGCAUCCCAGAUCCUCCUCAUGCUUUUCCUCACUUCAUCCGGACCUGACCAGAGCCAGGUUACUGAAAAUACUGGGGCUCCCAGAAAAA